rnacentral:lncRNA from 10 species
UCUCUCUGCCAUGUGAGGGUACAACAAGAAGGCUGCCAUAUGGAAACCAGGACCAGAACCUGACCAUGCUGGCACCCUAAUUUUGAACUUCCCAUCCUCUAAAACUAUGAAAAGCUGGAUACUGGAGACACCAGCAACGCAAAAACGCCAAUGGAGGAGACCCAGAAAAGAAAAGCCCCAAGAAAAGCAUGCCCUCUCUAUCCAGGAAGCGGGCAGCCUAAAAGUUGCGAGACUACGUUGGGGGAAAGAAAGGCUUGUUAGAAGUCACGGCAUGCUCUGAUUGUGACAAAGAGUGCUGUGGCUAAGUGACCCAGAUCUAUUGACAAGGCUUGGA